GCGUGUUUGAGUUGAGGCUCGGAGGUUGAAAAAAGUAUUUUGACAGACUAACUUUUGCCUCAUGUUUACCUGCGCCUCCCCCUGCAGGCUGCCAGGUGAAUUACACUGAUAAUCAAAAUAAUCAGCCGGUGAGAGAAUAAAGACGAGAACCAGAGCUCACAUUGCUUAACUUAAGGCGCACUCACACUCAGCAAAGUUACUCCCAUGUUGAAGCACGAUUUCCCCCCCCCCCCCAUUCCCCCGCUGGCCUGCGCCCAUGCUACACUCCGGGAUGUUCACUCCACGCUGUGGACCCGUGCACGAACGUACCGUGCUGAGGCACCUCUUCACGCCGGGCCAGGACAGGAAGUGAGCACUCAUGGUGGUCAAAGGAAGUGGACUUCAGUACGGGUCACAAAGUGCGCCCUGAGAUAACAGAUGAUAUCAUUUUAAAACACAAAGUGUUGAAGGAGUGUUGAAGGAAAUGAUUUUCAUCUAUUUAAUAAAAAACUUCUUUAAAGAGAACCUGUGGGUUUGUCUGACUUCUAAAACAGAUUUCUCAUCUCCCUGUGGUCCGAGAGGGGGGGGGGAGGUCUGCAGGGACCAGCAGGGACCAGCAGGGACCAGCAGCUCCAUCUACCGAGCACACGACUGAAAAUCAAGACGUGACUAACAGAGUUGUUUUUGUGUCUCAGCCUCUGAAGGCCUCGUCCUACGCGGGACCAGAGGGCUGCAGAGGGAAGCAAGUUUCAAACAGUUUAUAGAUUACACUCUGUCUCACUUCCUGUCCUGCUCGCUCUGCUCCAUCAGGUACAAGUAGAAGUGUUGUGCAUCUGCUGCAGAGGAGUCCAGACUGAUGGAGCAGAGACCCAGAGGAGUCCAGACUGACGGAGCAGAGACCCAGAGGAGUCCAGACUGACGGAGCAGAGACCCAGAGGAGUCCAGACUGACGGAGCAGAGACCCAGAGGAGUCUGGGGAAGCACACUGAAUAAUAAAGUCAUAAUCAGCCCUGCAGAGACAGACUGUACAUUCAUCUGGUGGAUUUAGGGGGUCAGUGUAGGAUUCAGGGUUCGUGGGGUCAUUUCCACCGCAGGUCGAUCUUGUUUCCACGCCCCUUCUGACAGAUGAAGUGAUGUCAGCACCAUCAGCAGGAGAGAUAUCGUCUUAAUAAUUGUAAUAAAUAUAUUUAUGAAUAAUUGGAAGGGUGUGGUUGAGGUUCUGGUUCAGGCUGCAGGUUGGAUCAGCUGACUGCAGGUGUUAUUACCCUCCAUGUUUCAAUGUUACCACCUCUCAUGUUUUAUCUGCUUCUUCUUUAACACUGUGGACUUUUCUCCUCGGCCGGCCUGCAGACUUUCUGUCACACAGCUCACUGAUCCACUUAAUGAUGUUUCACUCUAUUCAUCAAAAUGUCAAGUUCUCUGAGGCACAGCUUCCUUCCUGAAUUGCAGGAAAAUGUGAUGCAAAUGCAUCUGUGAUUUGAUAACCAGCUGUGACGGAUGAAGUAGAACUGUCUUAAUCAUCAGAGCCUCUCACACUUCUCAUUUCUUCUCUCCAGGUCGACAAGAUUGAUUUUCUCCACCCUCACGCUCCAAGUUCAAUUUGAGAGAAAAACAAUAGGUUCUGUGUUCAGAGCGACUCGCUCAUCCUCCCUGAGCUGUGGAUUAUUUAUCAGCUGUGCUCCACUCACUCAUACUCCAGUAGAUCAUAAAUAUAUUCUUGUGGUGACAUCAAACCGUCUGAGGAUGGAGACAGAAGUGCAGAGCUUCCCCUUCACUCAUUUCUUUGACUUGUUCUACUGAAUUGUACUCAAGCAAAGUUUUCUGUUUCUCCAGGAGCAGCUUUAAGGACAACUUCUAUGAUUCUUCUCACUCCUGAUCCUCUAAACACUCUGCUUGUCACUAAUGGUUCAGUAAUGACUCGAUGAUUAAUUAUCUCUGAGAAAAUCUGCCGUUUGAUUCAGAGUUUCACUUUGUCAGAGUCGUUUGUAAUCAUGAGCAAAGCUUCCUCUGAAAGCAUCAUCACAUCUCACAGCUGCGUUCUGCAAAUGUUUGCAAAAAGUGACAUCCAUAACCUCACCUAGCUGGGACGCCGCUGCAUCAGCGAGGAAACGAGGGAGGGAGGCGGGGCGAGGUUUCAGUCUGAAGUGUUGCCCCAUUAGGACGUCUAAUAAUAUCCCUCAUCCUGAGAAUCAGAGACGCUGCUGUCAUGAAUAAAUAAUAAAGAUAUGAUGGUGACAUUUGAAACAUCAGCAUCACAGAUCAGUA